UGAGGAAUUUUGCGCAAUGGCCGCAAGGCUGACGCAGCAACGCCGCGUGGGUGAUGAAGGCCUUCGGGUCGUAAAGCCCUGUCAGGUGGGAAGAAAGGCCUUAAGGAGAAAGACUUGAGGUUUGACGGUACCACCCGAGGAAGCACCGGCUAACUCCGUGCCAGCAGCCGCGGUAAUACGGAGGGUGCGAGCGUUAUUCGGAAUUACUGGGCGUAAAGCGCGUGUAGGCGGGGGGACAAGUCUGAUGUGAAAGCCCUGGGCUUAACCUGGGAAGCGCAUUGGAAACUGUGUGUCUUGAGUACUGGAGAGGAAGGGGGAAUUCCCGGUGUAGAGGUGAAAUUCGUAGAGAUCGGGAGGAAUACCAGUGGCGUAGGCGCCCUUCUGGACGGUAACUGACGCUGAGACGCGAAAGCGUGGGGAG
rnacentral:rRNA from 1 species